rnacentral:lncRNA from 1 species
ACCUGGAAGUCGUUCUUGACUGCGUGAAGGUCAUACACAAAGAGCUUCUGGCAGUGAGGCAGGAGGAGGGCUAGCAGGAGGGAGAGGGCACUGGGGACCAGCAGAAGGCUCUUCGACAGAGGCGCCUUGUCAGCCCACUGGAGCCGGUGCUGGUGAACAUGGUCCCGCCGGGCUCGGAGCCCCAGAGGGCGCCGGGGGAGGGGAAGCUGAAGUGCAAGCCCCAGCGACCGCGCAGGCGCACUCCUGACGGAGCGACGAAUCCGGCGCCGCGAGGCCACUCGCCGGGGAAGGGAAGUGCGUCCGUAGGGGAGGGCCCACCUCUCCAGGUUGAAACGAUGGCGGUCAGAACCGCCUGAGGUAAAAACGGGUGGCACUGGGGAAGCGGAGGCUUAGCUCCCGAGAGCCUCACACUUGUGCUCAGUGCCGCCUCACCCCUGGUGGAUCCGCGAUGGCCGCGGAUUCCCCUGGAUUGCCGGCGCUGGGCAGGAGCGCCACCUCUAAUCUCUCCCGAGACUGGACGCCCUGCGCCUUCCACGCGCGUUGUGUCUUUCCGGGCGGUCCCUCGAAGCUGGCUACCCCGCGUGCUGUUGACUGCAGUGGGAUCUGGUCACUCAGAUGCGGAUAGAGGCUAAAUGCAAGAUGGUAUGGCAUCCAGACUCUCCUCAUAAGUAUCUGCAGUGAUCCAUACCUUGAUUGUACAUCUACUCUGCAUCCUGAGGACCUGAACAUGCUAACUGGUGGCUGCAGAUUUGUCUUCUAAGGAGACACCUGUGAAACUCAUCUGACCUUUACUAUGAAUUCCUGGAUCUGCUGGUGCAUAUCAUUUCUGUUGCCCUGGCUGACAUUUCCACCUUUUCUCUUUUCUAGAUUUUAUUACAAGAACUCAGUCUGUUGGUCUCUAGGAAUCACCUAUUGCCUUACUAUGUUUUGUUGAACCUCUUUUUGAAUCUGCUUUCUACAUUGGGGAAAUAGGUAUAUGUUUGUAAACCUUAAAAGCUAUGUAUGCUGUAAGGAAAUCACCAGACACGUGGAUAAGCUUUGCAGAGGUGAAGGGCUGUCUCCACCAGAGAGACCCAGAAGGAGUCAGGGUAAGCCUGACUCAUCAUGAGAUCAGGUAUCCCCAAUCCACAGCGGACUUCCACAGUUCACCUUCCUAGGUAACCGCUCUGCCUUCCCAGGUAAAGUAGGAAUAAUAUCAGAACUUACAGUAUAUUUUGAGGUCAAAUUUGUAGAAUUUAGUGAUUUCAUUUUUAUUAUUACUCAACCUUUUAUUUACAACCAAAUUAAUAAGGCUACUUACACAUAACAGUGUGUGGACAUACACAUUAAGAGAAUCAUUUGCUGCCUAGCACUCCUACCUAGGUACUUUAAGAACAUCAUUGAGUGGAUACUCCCUCUGCUGGGUAAAAUACUUUGCCACAAUGGUCUGGCCCCUGACUGCAGACUUCUAAUGGAAAGGAAAACAGACUCUAACACAAUCUGCUAAUUAACCCACAGGUUGGAUUGAGAAGGAAAAAAAUCCACCUGAAUUCUUAAGAUAAAAUGUAUCAUUUAAAUAAUUAUUCUGGGUCUCUGCUUCUCCUGUUUGACAAGACAGCCGCAUC